GCGGAAAUCGUGAAGUGUGGCGUAACUCUACAGAUGCCUGCUCCUGAUUUGGAGAGGACAUACAUGUACCAAUUGGGCAUGAGCGUGUGUUAGCGACAAGAUCACAGGUCGCAUCCAAUGAAUGAAGCUGGCUUGACGAUCUCUACUAACUUGUGUGCUUUACGAAACAGGCCCGUCCACUGAAUUAGGGUUCGUUUUGACCUGUGUUAUUUCCAAACGUUCUAAUUCCUCAGUGCUCCACUCGAUGUUGGAGAAAGCUGGAAAACAGAGUGACUCGUUUCUCUGUUUUCCUGGUUAUUAUGCCACGGCUUAUUACGUCAAUCUGUAAGGUGAAGACUGCCAAAUAGAGUACAACCAAAGGCGUUACAAUGGUAACCGAAAUAUUGAGAAAACACCACUAUUUAAUCUCAGGACAACCACGGUGUAGAAUGUGCUACUCGAUCAGCUAACUUGACAAUGCACAUUAUUAAUACAAAUAUGGCUAGUAAAGGUGUAUGUUUUGAGCACCUUGUGAAAAACUGGGCCAUUUUGGAACCAGACAUCGGCUGUCAAGAUAUUGUUUCAUUCCUUGCAUGUGCUAUACUGUGCAGCCAACAAAGUUGUACCACAAUGAACUUGCUACCGAUGGAUUCUGUUUUAAUCUGCCAAAUGAGUAAGCGGAAGGGGACGUGCAUGGAAAAGGAGGAGGCUUUCGUGAACCAAGGAGCACACAUGUAUCAAAGAAAGAUAAUAAAGAAGAUCGUAUACAGACUUCAUAAGAAGGUUCCGUUUCUACCAGCACUCAUCAUUAAAGUUGGUGGGAGGAAAACAGAUCGAUGGUGUUUUGAUUACCUGUCAGGUAGAAUAAUCGUUAUCAGAUACCACUGGAAAACGCCGUUACAAACAGUGCAAGUGUACAAAUUGGGGAGUCGAUUUUAUGGUAUUCAAUACAACACAUCUUUUUUUAGGCAAAAUUUAGGAUGGUAUAGAGGGGUUAACUACAAACAGUAUAUUGGAUUUGCGUACAAGUCUAAAAGAGGUAUGCCCCAAGCCUUUCUCUACCAUACUGCUAAGGGUAUAUUUGGCAAAAUUGUCUUACCGACAAAAGAUGUUUGUGUUGCUGUUGGAGUUGUCCCUUCAGCUGUCUUUUUUGGAUUUCAAUGCAGCGCUAUAGUAGGUUGUCGAAGGACUGGUGGUUUUCGUUUAACCGUUUAUGAUACCUUGGCAUAUAACGAAACAGGUACUCUCAAAAUCAUACUUAGAAACGGUAUGAAUUUUCCAACAGUGAGACGUUUACCAUGGCUCUGUGUCGGAGAUAUCUAUCAGAUGUUUCUUCAAAAGCACUUUUAUAUUAUUUCUUAUUUAAGGAAAAACCGUUACCAACCUGUUAGAUACUUAAUAAAAAACCAACCUGUCGAUUACGACGGGAUUAAUAAUAUAACGGUGAAAGUUGCCUUCAGCGCAAAGUUAGGCAUGUUGUUCAUGUUGGGCUUACCGGGACCUUCUGCACUUGGUUUCGAACAAAUACCACAGGCCAAGAAUGGAUUUGUUAAUAAAAGGUUAACAUUUCAAGAAGUUGUAACCAAAUGCUAUCCUUUUCACAACAAGGGGAGCAACAAAGUAGGAAUACAUUUACAUUUUAACCCCGUCAGUGGAUCACUGCUCUAUCUUAGAGGGCCCGUAAACAAAACAAAACAAGUUAUUGAGCAUCUCACAGCUGUUGAUAUCUACAAGGUACAAUAUUAGAUGCAUGUUUGAGCAUCUCACAGCUGUUGAUAUCUAAAAGGUUCAAUAAAUGCAUGUUUGAGCAUCUCACCGCUGUUAAUUACUUCAAGAACAAUAGAUGCGUGAUUGAAUAUAUAAAAACUGCUAAUAUAUACAAGGUACAUGUACAAUGCGGCUUGAUUAAGAUAUCUCAAAUAUCUAAAUCGUCAUUAGUCGAGACUACAUUUAAUACAGGGUUGCACUAACAGGUGAAUAGUAUAUACAGACAGUAGAAUGAUAUGUUUACUGUCUGUGAUCAAAGGAUUCAGCUGAUGAAGGUUGCCUAAUGUUGAAGUAGUGUCCUACUUCACAAGGCUACAAUCAGUAUAGUCCAGAUCAUAUAAAAUGAGGACAGCCCGAAUGAGUAUUGUCCUAGUGACAAUGAAAAAUUACUGAAUACAAACCAUUUCUAAUUUUCAUGUUAUUCCAUAGGUGGAUAUGCACAAUUACCGCUUAUUUCGACGUCUUUCUUUCGUCCCGACAAUCAAAACGAAGACUAGUCCCCAUUUUGUAUUUCACCCAACCCGACCAUUGAUCAUGGUCUUUUAUUCAGAAGCUAGUAUACCUUUCAAUAGACUUCUUGUGUAUGGGACAACGCCUCCAGAUCCAACCUGGCGCCUCCAGUUCAACUCAUCCUACUACGCUGUCGGACAGUUUCCUCGUGGGACAUCACAAUAUGUGUCGCAUACUGCAUCAAACUACAUCAUCUACGUUCCCCUCCGACGAUCAGGUGGAAACCUACUAAUCGGUGAUGGUAAACUCUAUGAUUUUCUGGCAGGAAAAUUUAUUGGACGGUUGAUAAUUCCACCGCGAGAGAAGUGCAUUCGCGCUAGUCCGGCGCUACCAUUCGUAACCGCUGAUAUGGCCUGCAUUGCGUUUUAUUGUCUAUCAUCAAAGUCGGAGUCAUCCUUGUCCAUAAGUGUAUAUGACGUCCUGCGGAAAUAUAUUGACAACUCUUUGAUUUGUAAACUAGUACGUAAAAGGACAACAGUCAUCGUCAUUCAGAACCAACACUUUUCCCUUCUGGUUAGCGUUGAUUUUAGAUUUUUCCUCGGAUCCGAUGGUGGAUUUGUCAUUUCAUUUCCCACUGCCGUUGAGUUUAUCAUAUUCCGCGAUAUACAACAAGGUUUGAAUAAACAGCGACGAUGUACCCUGUCAGUUACAGGCAAGGUUAAUGUCUUAACAGAUAAUCCUACAUUGGGAUUAUUCCUUGGUUACACUGAGUCAUCUCAGUCCACGUUACACGCCUUUGCAGUAAGUUGUCGUAAGAAGAAACCACUGAUUUUAAGAUAUACGGAUAAAACAGUUACUCCCAUACGUAUAACAUUACAUGGGUCAGCAGCAAACAGGCAACAAUUCAAACAACUUGAAGUAGAAGUUGAUAAUCGAAUGAAUAUAUUACAGAUAUAUUGGCAAAACCGCCGCCAAGGAAACCCAAUGAAUGGAGUGAAAAUGUACGAGAUUUGUUGAUGAGCUCACCAUUAAAUUUCAGAACGCUUUUUUAUGAAUAACCAAUUACAUUCGUACUGGCCCGGCAAUAACUCAUACUCUACUCCUCCUUUAACGUCCUCGAAAACAUAUCCAUGUUAACACAGCAUAAGCAAUGACUGGCAAUGCUGGCUGAUGAUGAGACCAUACCACCAUUGAAUAUUCAUAGGUUGGAGGUUCCAGACUUAUCAAUUAGACGCGUGGUUUGAGAUUUUUCUGCCAGUUGGCUGAAAAGAGUGGAAAUAUCAAUGUCUGUCCAAUGUGUCGAUUCUCAAAAAAAAUGUCCGUUGUCAACUACCAGGUUACUUUUCACCAUUUACUUGCCCGACUGUCCGGAAUAUCACAUCAAAAAUUCAGAUUCACAACCCGACGCAGUAUUUGAUGCGUCGCGAUCAAACAUUGACAAUUUAACUUCUAAAAGGCUUAAAAAACCAAUGGUGCAUGGUCUUGUCUUUGCUACCUUGCCAGAAAGUAGGCAAGAUGGCGGCGAGUCAUGCCAAGACCUUGAACAUGAACACCAUGCACUGAAAAUGCAUAGUGAAUAUCAUGCAUUGUACUGUACAGUACACUCACAGCUCGUCAGUAUGGACAUGCCGACUCGGGCAGUUGGAAUGUCUCGCUCAUAUUCAGAAUCAAGCGUAUUCAGUGCAAUAUAGACUUUAAAUUCACAUUAUGCUUUUCUUAUCAUUAGCCACUAUAAAUGAACGUGAUUUUGUCUGCCUAAAAUUGGUGAUAAUCGCAACAAAAUUAAAUGUUUAAGUAAUACUUUUCAAAAUUGGCAAGAAGUUUCCGACUCGAAAAAUCUCGCUGAUUUUCUGUGGCUUAUUUCUGACUUAUUGGAAAGAUAUUCCUCAAUUUGUUCCAUUCUACACAUUCCUUAUGAUUGUAGAUACCGGAUAGGAAUCCCAUUCUUUAACUCACCAACCUGAAUCGUCCUUAGUCUGCUCUUGACUUUCGCUAACUUCAUGAACUUUCUCAAAACUUGCGUUCGCGGCCAUUUUUCUCGGUUGUGUGGAAAAUCCAGCUCGGACCAACUGGACGCCCCCGCGACGGGCUCGAUCAAGUGGCGCGCCGCUCAACAAUUUGGAGAACUCAUUCACCAGGGUGAUAAGUAAGGUCACUUGUACAUUCUAUUUUCUCUGUGGUCCAAUCUUAAUGGAUGGAAUUCUUUUCGAAAACUUUGAAACGUCCUAAGAUAGAAGGUACGGGGUACAAAUGAUUAUGUUAUCACAGUGCGGUUUAUUCUCCAAGCUAUUGACGAUCAUGACCUCUAUAUAGACAUAUACCAUUUCCGUCGCAAUGCAAAAUGUCUGGACCCUUUUUUCAGCUUUGAACUUCUACAUCGGCUUUUUGCAUAUUGUGGACCGAAAAAGUCGGUAAUGUUUAGGGACUUCGGCGACAGAUGUCGUUGAGUCAUUGUUGGUCCUCCUCUCCGGUGUUAAAUCGAAUAGCCAGGCACUAAGAACCAAAUUCGAACAGUUCAGGUCCUCCCAAGAUUAAGUCUAUUGUUCCGUGAGCCUAAUCCCUGAACAGAUAGUUGAGCAUUACAAUGGGGGUAUCAGCUCUCGGACAAUCGGCGGGUUAGAUCAAACGAUGGACAGCGCGAUAUGACCAACACUGGUCAAACUAAAUACAAUGUACUACAUAUAAUUAAAGACAGAUUAGUUCAAAGAAACCUCUAACUUGGACUUCCUCAAAUACUUUUGAAGAAUAUUUCAAGUGGCGAAACAUUAGACAAAGGGCUUCAUACAAGAUAUCCACAUAUAAAAGAGCGUAUAGGCCUGCACC